CCUACGGGUGGCAGCAGUGAGGAAUAUUGGUCAAUGGGCGGAAGCCUGAACCAGCCAAGUAGCGUGCAGGAUGACGGCCCUACGGGUUGUAAACUUCUUUUAUCCGGGAACAACGCGCCUUACGUGUAGGGCUUUGCAUGUACCGUAUGAAUAAGGAUCGGCUAAUUCCGUGCCAGCAGCCGCGGUAAUACGGAGGGUGCGGGCGUUAUCCGGAUUUAUUGGGUUUAAAGGGAGCGUAGGCGGGAUGUCAAGCGUGCUGUGAAAUGGCCGGGCUCAACCCGGGCCGUGCAGCGCGAACUGGCGUGCUUGAGUGCGCGAGAAGCAGGCGGAAUGCGUGGUGUAGCGGUGAAAUGCUUAGAUAUGACGAAGAACCCCGAUUGCGAAGGCAGCAUGCUGGAGCGGAACUGACGCUGAUGCUCGAAAGCGCGGGUAUCGAACAGGAUUAGAUACCCCGGUAGUC
rnacentral:rRNA from 1 species